rnacentral:rRNA from 1 species
AAGGCUUAACACAUGCAAGUCAGGGGCAGCAUAUUGGUAGCUUGCUAUCAAUGAUGGCGACCGGCGCACGGGUGAGUAACGCGUAUCCAACUUCCCCAUAGUAGGGCAUAGCCCGUAGAAAUGCGGAUUAAUACCCUAUGUUUUCCGAAGAUGACAUCUGAUUCGGAACAAAGGUUCACCGCUAUGGGAUGGGGAUGCGUCUGAUUAGGUAGUCGGCGGGGUAACGGCCCACCGAGCCGACGAUCAGUAGGGGUUCUGAGAGGAAGGUCCCCCCACAUUGGAACUGAGACACGGUCCAAACUCCUACGGGAGGCAGCAGUGAGGAAUAUUGGUCAAUGGGCGCGAGCCUGAACCAGCCAAGUAGCCGUGCAGGAUGACGGCCCUAUGGGUUGUAAACUGCUUUUAUACAGGGAUAAAGUCGGGGACGUGUUCCCCGUUUGCAGGUACUGUAUGAAUAAGGACCGGCUAAUUCCGUGCCAGCCGCCGC